UACGUAGGGGGCAAGCGUUGUCCGGAUUCAUUGGGCGUAAAGAGCGUGUAGGCGGCUUUGUAAGUCGGGGGUGAAAGCCUGUGGCUCAACCACAGAAUUGCCUUCGAUACUGCAUGGCUUGAGACCGGAAGAGGUAAGUGGAACUGCGAGUGUAGAGGUGAAAUUCGUAGAUAUUCGCAAGAACACCAGUGGCGAAGGCGGCUCACUGGUCCGGAUCUGACGCUGAGGCGCGAAAGCGUGGGGAGCAAACAGG
rnacentral:rRNA from 1 species